ACCGAGAGAAAAUGGUUGCGUCGUAUUUCAGAGAGAUCGAGAAAUUGGAGUUGUGGAAGAUGAGAUCGAGAUGCUGUUUGAUGUUGGCUAAAGAAUCAAUCGAGAAGAAACUGCUAUCGUUGCUGUAAUCGAAGGUCUUAGAAGAUUCAGUUAGGGUUCAUGUAUUUGCAAAGCUGAACAUCUGUGCGGGGUUGAGUUGAAGUCAAGAUCGAUGGGGUUUUAGGUUUGAUUCAUCUGCUAAUGAAUUUUAAGCAGGUGGUGAUUCAAGAUUUUAGACUAGGGUUUUGAAUUGAGAAGAAGAUGUAGGAUCUGGUGAUGAAAUACAAGGAAUUGAUGGUGGAAUUAAGGUGGGAUUUGGUCGAAUUUACAUCUGGUUCUGUUGGAUUAAAUGGGUUCCAAUGGAUUUUGAAGUUCAGGCAAACAAGGUAAUCACCAAGAAGAACUGGUGAUGUUGAGCUGAAGCUUCUGUUGAAACUCAGAUGGAGUUGUUGGCAGCAGAGAAUGAUGCAGUAGAGAAGAUGGUGGUGAAUGAUGGGUUUUGGUGCUUGACUGAUAUAGAAGAUCCAGAACAUGGCAGUGGUGGUUGUAAUGGAUGUUGAAAUGGGUGAUUGCAGGUUAUGCUAGCCAUGGAUGGUACUAUUGCUUUGAGAUUAUGGAGCUGAAAUGCUUAGUAUUUGAAUUGAAAUUGCAGCUGAUGGCUAAGCGAAGAUAAUCAAGGGUUGUUGUUGUUUUUGGAGGAAUUUAUGGGUUUGUUGUGUUGGUGGUAUGUAAUGCAAGUUGAAGUGCAGCUGUUGUAUUAUGUAUGUUGAGGUUAUUGCAGUUCCAAGAUUUUGAAGCUGAGAUGUUGUGCUGGUCAGGGAAGAUUGAGCUGCUGCUGUAGUUUUGAGAUGCAGUUUGAAUGGAGAAGAACAAGAGGAAAAUGUACUCGAUUUGUUGGUGCUGAUGGAUUGAGGCUAUAGUAUUUUGCAGAAUUGAGCUGAGAAUGGGACUGGUACAUAUGAGCCUAGAUGUAUGUUAGGUCAUGGUACUGAGACUGGUAGAAGUGGUGAAUUGUAGAUGCAGUGGGAUUAGCUAUUUGCAAUUGCAGGUGGGUGGUUAUGAAGCCAACUGCAGGUGGUGUAUCUAAGAAGGUCUAAGGAGCUGUAUCAGCUAGCUGUUGUUGGUACCUGGCUUAACAGUGAAGAAAUGAAACUGAAGUACAAAGAAUGGUGUGCAAUUACAGCUCAAAUGGAGGCACUGCAAUGAACCAAUGAUGCUGUCUAGAUGAAUGUUAGGGCAGGUACUUGAGCUACAAUGGAAGCAGCAAGGAGGACUGUUUGUGGUCAACUACAGGUGAAUAAGAUGCAGAUGUAUAGAGCUGUGAAUGGGUUAAGAAGCUAUGUGCUUCAGAUGGUGUUGAUGUUGUUGGUUUCAGGAGCUGAAGCUGAUGUAAUGCAGUGAUGGGGGUUUUAGGUUUGAUUCAUAUGCUAAUGAAGCUUAAGCAGGUGGUGAUUCAAGAUUUUAGACUAGGGUUUUGAAUUGAGAAGAAUAUGUAGGAUCUGGUGAUGAAAUACAAGGAAUUGAUGGUGGAAUUAAGGUGGGAUUUGGUCGAAUUUACAUCUGGUUCUGAUGGAUUAAAUGGGUUCCAGUGGAUUUUGAAGUUUAGGCAAACAAGGUAAUCACCAAGAAGAACUGGUGAUGUUGAGCUGAAGCUUCUGUUGAAACUCAGAUGGAGUUGUUGGCAGCAGAGAAUGAUGCAGUAGAGAAGAUUGUGGUGAA